UUUGUUCUUCCAUUUAGAUUGAAGACCUCAAACGCUUUUGCAAACUAGGCAAUCGGAUCCCAAGUUACCCAGAGAAUACAUUUACAAUGGCAUUGAAGUCAUAGCCGGUACAAAUCUGAAGUAUACUGAUUAUGAUCUAUUUAUAUAAUCCAAUGUAAUCUUCAAUCAAAGCAGGUUUCGUUUUCCACUAAAAUCCCACAAAACCAAAAUCCAACAUUUUUACUUACACUACAUCACUCACUACAUGCGCAAUGCACAUGCAUUCACUAGUAAUUAAUAAAAGCAUAGACGUGUGCAAUAAAUAGCAGCAAUUAACAUCUAACCUAUAACUACACAAUACAAGACAAAUAUUCAAGUUUGGAGACUCACGUUUCAUAUAAUCUUCAAUCAAAGCAGGUUUCAUUUUCCAUUAAAAAUCCCACAAAAUCAAAAUCCAACAUUUUUACUUACACUACAUCACUCACUACAUGCGCAAUGCACAUGCAUUCACUAGUAAUUAAUAAAAGCAUAGACGCGUGCAAUAAAUAGCAGCAAUUAACAUCUAACCUAUAACUACACAAUACAAGACAAAUAUUCAAGUUU
rnacentral:lncRNA from 1 species